rnacentral:tRNA from 1 species
GCCUGGGUGGCUCAGUCGGUUGAGCAUCCAACUUCGCUCAGGUCAUGAUCUUGCAGUUCGUGGGUUCGAGCCCCGCGUCGGGCU